UACGUAGGGGGCAAGCGUUGUCCGGAAUCAUUGGGCGUAAAGAGCUCGUAGGCGGUUCAGUAAGUCGGGUGUGAAAGCUCCGAGCUCAACUCGGAGAGGCCACUCGAUACUGCUGUGACUAGAAUCCAGUAGGGGAGCGUGGAACUCCUGGUGUAGCGGUGAAAUGCGCAGAUAUCAGGAAGAACACCAGCGGCGAAGGCGGCGCUCUGGGCUGGAAUUGACGCUGAGGAGCGAAAGUGUGGGUAGCAAACAGG
rnacentral:rRNA from 1 species